CUUAGAAAAAAAGUCAGCAUUCAUUUCUUUGCACAUGUAGGGAACACUACCAGAGGCAGAAAAAAAAAGUAACUUUUAUUUUUCCUGAGUGAAAUACAAAAAAAAAAGCAGUUAUAUGGAAUAGACUUUGUACUUGUUUGUACUGGAAUUUUACAUAGGGAAAAGGUGAGAUACUUAUCAGAUGGAUUGCAUUUAGUGUUACAUGUAGAGGAAGAGGAAGAAUGCAUAAUUACUUUCUAAAUUAGAGUAACAGAUAAGGCAAUUGGAAGGUGAAUAUGGAGAGAGAUUUAGCAUUGAGGUCAGCAAGGGACUCUUAUAAAAAGCCCUGAAAACCACAGUUACUAAGAAUCUGUGAAGGGCCUGGAUGUCAGUGAUCCCAUUCAGGCAAAAUGAAGUUAAGUUUGCAGACUUGGGAGAAAAAAAUGAUCUAGAAGAAAACGCACAUGAUUUAGCAUUGUAAUCUCUACACAUUGAUUGCCACUUUGCAUAAACCAAAUAAAUAUUACUUUCAUAAAGUUUGGUAUUAAUUUCACAGAAUUCAAAACGCAGAUAUACUUUACCUUACACCAAAGUCAGGAUCCUCUAAAGUGGCAAUUAAAUCAUGUUUUAUAAUUACACACAGUGGUAUUUCAAGGCUGAUUUGAACUUUUUAAUGACGGCUUUGUGCUAUCUUAUUUGAAAUAGUCGAUUGUUGCAAUUCAUUAACUGUUUUUAUUUGUUGUCACGGAUUUUAAAGUCAACUUUUAAUUUGAGAACAGAUUUAGAUUUACAGUAACAUUGUGAACCUAGUACAGAGAGUUCCCCUAUACUCCACACCCAAUUCCACCUGUUUCUAAUAUCUUACUUUACUGUGGUUCAUUUGUCACAAUAUCAAUUGUGACUAAUAUCGAUACAUUACCAUCGGCUAACAUCCAUCAGAAUUCCUUAGUUUUAACCUAAUGGCCUUGUUCUACUCGAGGACCCCGCCCAGGAUACCACAUCUCAUUUAUUAGCCAUCUCUCCUUAGGCGUCUGUUGACUAUGACAGUUUCUCAGACUUCUCUUGAUUUUGAUGACCGACAGUAUUAAGGACUGCUAACCAGAUGUUUUGUAGAAUAUCCUCAACUGAGACUUCUCUGAUUUUUUUUCCAUAAUUAGACAGAAGUUAUGGGUUGUGGGGAGGAGGACCACACAGGUAAUGUGCCAUGCUCAUCACAUUGUGUCAAGAGUACAUACUCCUCACAUGACUAAUCACUUGACCAAGUGUUCACAAGUGCCCAUUUCUUAUCCUCUGCUUUGCCUUGACUAGACCCUAGGCCUUGACUAGACCAUAGAUCUCUCCUCUCCACAGAUCCAUGAACUUUGUUUCUUUCAAGCCUGGGCAAACAUUAAUUGCAGAACAUGCCUCCCUUAUCAGUUUAUCCUGAGAAUCAACUUACUACAGCAAGAGGCAUUUCCUGUCUUACCAUGCUGGUCACUCUUCUCCCCUGCUUGACCAAUGUAUUAGUUUGCUAGGGUUGUCAUAACAAAAACACCACAGACUGGGUGACUUAAACAACAAAGUUUAUCUUCUCACGGUACUGGUGGGGAGAAGUCCAAGAUCAAGGUGUCAGGUCUCUCUCCUUGGCUUGCAGGUGGCUGUCUUUUCGCUGUCCUCACCGUGUCUUUUCUUUGCAUGCGUGCAUCCCUGGCAUCUCUCUACAUCCACAUUUUCUCUUCUCACAAGAACGCCAGUCAGAUUGGAUGAGGGCUCAGCCCUACGCCUUCAUUUAACCUAAUUACCUCUUUAAAGGCCCUAUCUCCAAAUACAGUCACAUUCUCAGGUACUGUAGUCCCACCUAAUCCACAGUUUCAGUUUAUGGGGUUCUAGUUACCAAGAUAACUUUGGUCCAAAAAUAAGUGGGUAUAGCACAAUAACAUAUGUUGUUGUUGUUGCUGUUUUCUGAGACAGAGUCUCGCUCUGUUGGCCAGGCUGCAGUGCAGUGGCAGGAUCUCAGCUCACUGCAACCUCUAUCUCCUGGGCUCAAGCAAUUCUCCUGCCUCAGCCUCCCCAGUAGCUGGGAUUACAGGUGCCUGCCACCGCACCCAAAUAAUUUAUAUAUUUUUAGUAGAGAUGGAGUUUCACCUUUGGCCAGGCUGGUCUUGAACUCCUGACCUCAAGUGAUCUGCCCGCCUCGGCCUCCCAAAGUGCUGGGAUUACAGGUGUGAGCCACCACACCUGGCCCACAAUAACAUAUUUUGAGAGAGACAGUGACCACAUUCACAUAACUUUUGUUACAGUACAAUGUUAUGAUUGUUCUAAUAUUAUUGUUGCUAAAUCUCUUAUUGUGCCUAAUUUAUACAUUAAACUUGAUCACAGUUAUGCAUGAGUAGAAAAUACAGAAUGUAUAUAGGGUUUGUACUAUCUGGUAUCUACUUAAAGUAUCUACUGUCGGUCUUGGAAUGUAUCCCCUACAGUUAAAGGGAGACUACUGUCCCGGGGAUGAGGAUUUUAAGAUGUGAAUACGGUGGCACAAUUCAGCUCAUAGCACACAAUUUGCUUUUAUAUACUGCUUAUCCCUUCUUACUCUAUUAAAGAAGAGCCUUUUACUGUUAAAUUUUGAGACACUUGCAGAUUUCUGAGAUCAGAGCUAUCUACCUGUUACAAUAGUCUUUUUGAAUAAAGUUUCUCUUUCUCUGAGGAGUCCAGAUUUGUUUUUAUUGGAUACACUUUUGAUGUUGAUUGUCACCACGUGAGUGAGGUAACAUCUGUCAGAUUUUGCCACUAUAAAACCCCUGUUCCUCCUGCCCCUUUUUAAUAGUGAAGCCUAUGGAAAGCAGUCAGUAAAAGCAUCCAACACUGAAGGAGUGGAGAAUUAUGCCCCAUGUUCGUUAGAGCAGUGUAUUUGCAUGAAUUAUCUGCAAUUUUUUUUUUUUGCAUGGGAGAUUCAUCUACUCUCCCAUUUACUUUUUUCAAGCAUUUAUUUAUAUCAGUAUGGAAUCACGGAUAUUUAUUUAUAUUUUAAGUUAUAUUCUGAAGCUGCUUUACUUUAUUGCUCUAUAAUUGAUUUUUCAACCACAUUUUAAGCCAUCACUCAGUUGAUUGACGUACAUUCAUGAAUCUUAGCCAAACGUCAUUCUGUAAUUCAUCUGAAUAUUUGAUAAAUCCAGGCGUGACCUGCAACUCCAACUGCUUAUCUCCACGAUUGCCUUAAACCAAAGUAAUAGUGCAGGAAAUCCAAAGGUAACUAACUGGUUCUUGUUUCUUAACACAGUGACAACUGAGAACUUUGGAUGCUGUCACCUCGUUAAUAUCAGCACCGAGUACUAGCAGGUAGAAACAAACAGCAUGCAUUCUUCACUGAUACUGGGAGUUUCUUUUGAUUAUUUCAACCUUACCGUUUUGGCUUGGUGACAGUAUUAUGACUAGAGGGAAAGUUAUUGAGUGGUUUGGGAGAUCUGAUUACAACAUGCAUAAUAAAUUUUGAAGUAAGAAAAUGCUGAAGAUGGGUUUUCCUACCCUUGUUCAGACUCUUGGAAAUGUGACUUAUAAAAGGAGGAUUGAAAGAAAAAGGAAAAUAUGAAGCAAUGAAAUGCAUGAUUUUAAAGAACUCAAUUAUG
rnacentral:lncRNA from 1 species